rnacentral:lncRNA from 1 species
UGACAAACAGCAAUUGCAAUUGGCCCAAAGCAAAAUCACCAAAACCUAAACUACAUUCUGAUCUCUUCAGCCGCCAAUCCCACCCCCACAUCCCCUUCCCCACUUUCCCAAUUCUUUCUUCAACCAUGGUUACACUAAAAAAUGCGAGAACGACAGAGAAGAAGAGUGAGAGAGAACCCCAUAGCUUAUUUAUUCUUGAGCAGAAGAGGUAAGCCCGUAUCUUUAUAUUUUACGUUUGUGAAUUUUCUCAUACCUACUUGACAUGAAUUUUUGGUUUUAAUUUUGCGAAUUAUUCAGCAAUUUAAUAAUCUGCCCUAUUUUUGAUAUAUAGUGAGUGAAAAUUUGAAGAUUUUGAAGUGGUAAUUUUGGGAGGAGCCAUAGUUCAUGGACUGUAACAACAAAGCAACAUUACAAAAUUGGGAUGAAGAUCCUUUAAGAAGUUUAAAAAGUCUACAGGUUUUUUAAACUUCUUUUGUUGCUUUGUACUUUUCUCUUUUGUUAUCUGUUAAAAAAUCUUGUAAAAGAAUUAUCAUGAAAUAUUUCUUGUCUUAUUGAUAUUCUAUUAAUAUUUUUACUAAUCGAACUUGCAUCUUUGUAUUGAAGUUGAAACUCAAUUUUACCUGUUAAAUAUUCAAUGAACUCAUACAAUUGUCAAAUGUUGCCUUCUCCGACUAAAAUACAUCUUUUGGCCAAAAAGAAUUAAUCCAUUUCAGUUGAAAUUUUAGUCUAGUGCCAGACAGCAUGAUCCGCCUCCAAUUACAAAGUGAUUUGUAACUUAGAAAGCAUCAAUGAGACUCGGUUAAGAUUCUUCUUAGUCUUUGCAAGCAAUAUGUCUUUAGCUUCAUUAAUUUUUGAAGCAAUGUAGUGGCUACCUCUUGCAUAUGUGAUCAGUUAUUUUUUGCUUUGAGGCGUUAAAAUACUUUAUUCGUUGACAGGCAGAUUCGUGAAGUUAGAGCAGCAAUGACAAGUUAAGACUAAAGCUAAGGUGCAGUAGUCGGUGCUACUUAGGGAAGAGAGAAAGGCGAAGACGAUGCUACUUUGUGUCUCAAGCAAGAUGGUGUUGUAGAAGACUUACGUAUCGUUCAUUUUUUGAAAUUUACAAUUAUGUGCAACUUGAAACCUAUUGUGGAAUGUAAUUUUUUUUAAUUCUUAGCUACAUUGUAACAAUUCUUAUAUGUAUCUAUUUUGGAAUCUAAAAUAUUUGAAUUUUAGCUGCAGGAUAAAAUUCUUGUGACCAAUUAUUUGUGGCAAAUUCUUCAAUUAUAGCAAUAAAAAUUUAGAAUUUGG